GAUGAAGAACGCAGCGAAAUGCGAUAAGUAAUGUGAAUUGCAGAAUUCAGUGAAUCAUCGAAUCUUUGAACGCACCUUGCACCCUUUGGCAUUCCGAAGGGUAUGCUCGUUUGAGUGUCAUUGUACUCUCACUCUCCCGAUGCUUUUGGAUCGGGAGUGGUGGACUUGGGUGUUGCUGCUUUGCUGUGGCUCGCCUCAAAUGGAGUAGUGCAACUCUUGGUUGGACAUAGUACGGCGUGAUAAGUGUCUUCGCCGGCGCCUCAUUAUAGAGGGUGGCCGAUCGGGAGCUCUGUGCUUCAAACCGUCUUCGGACAACAUCUGACAACUUGACCUCAAAUCGAGUAGGACUACCCGCUGAACUUAAGCAUAUCAAUAGCGGAGGA
rnacentral:misc_RNA from 1 species